rnacentral:pre_miRNA from 1 species
AGUGAAAUAGCUGGGUCAAAUGGUCAUCCCAUUCCCAGUUUUCCAAGUAUUGUCCAUAAUGCUUUCUAGAUUGGCUGCACCAAUUUGCAGUCCCACCAGCAAU